rnacentral:lncRNA from 1 species
CUCAAUUAUUUUCAACAAAAAUUUCGGGUUACACCCAAAUUCUAAUAUAAUCAUUAACCUCAAUAAGGGUCUAUUUCAAUAUGGUGCAAAAGUCUUUACAAAUCGAGCAUCUGUUAGGAUUAUGACACAGUUACAAGCACCAAAGGCUUUUUUCAUAGAGCUUAGGAAAUAAAUGAAGAAAUGGGAGCUAUAGAAGUGUUGGUAGGAAAUCCAGCAGAGAUAAGAAGGAAUUGCCGUGUAGUGAAUUCUCAAGUAUUUCUUCCAUAGUCGAAUAUUGGUGAACUAUUUUUGUGCUUUGACAAAUUAGUGUGAAAUGUAUCAAAGAAUUCAUAGCUAAGUGUUUGCAGCUUUUGAUUCUGGGUUUAGAAAUCAAAUUAUUACAUUAUGCGUAAGUCUUGAAAUUUCAUUACAAUAACUGCCCUUACCAUAUACUUUUCGUUUAUCCAAUUCCAAUCUAAACCGAGCUCCCCUCUCUUCAGAGGUGACGCGCAGAUAAAAUUCUUACCAGUAACAUGUAAACAAAUUGGACAGUGUUUCGCGCGGGUUAG